rnacentral:rRNA from 1 species
UUAAGUGAAUAAGGGCGCACGGAGGAUGCCUUGGCACUAGGAGUCGAAGAAGGACGCGACAAACGGCGAAACGCCUCGGGGAGCUGUAAGUGAGCAUUGAUCCGGGGGUAUCCGAAUGGGGAAACCCGCUAGUGGUUAUACGCUAGCACCAUAUGGUGAAUACAUAGCCAUAUAGGAGACAGACCCAGGGAACUGAAACAUCUAAGUACCUGGAGGAAAAGAAAGAAAAAUCGAUUCCCGUAGUAGCGGCGAGCGAAGUGGGAAGAGCCCAAACCGGAUUUAUCCGGGGUUGUAGGACCUUCAUAAUUGACAAAUCAUGAUAGCCGAAUGGUCUGGGAAGGCCAACCGUAGGGGGUGAGAGUCCCGUAGGUGAAAUUGUGAGAUGCAUGGAAGGAAUCCUGAGUACGGCGGGACACGUGGAAUCCCGUCGGAAUCAACGAGGACCAUCUCGUAAGGCUAAAUACUACCUAGUGACCGAUAGUGAACCAGUACCGUGAGGGAAAGGUGAAAAGAACCCCGGAAGGGGAGUGAAAGAGAACCUGAAACCGUGUGCCUACAAAUAGUCAGAGCCCGUUAAUGGGUGAUGGCGUGCCUUUUGUAGAAUGAACCGGCGAGUUACGAUAUCGUGCGAGGUUAAGCAGAAGAUGCGGAGCCGUAGCGAAAGCGAGUCUGAAUAGGGCGAAGAGUACGAUGUUGUAGACCCGAAACCGUGUGAGCUAGCCAUGAGCAGGCUGAAGGUCAGGUAACACUGACUGGAGGGCCGAACCAGGGCACGUUGAAAAGUGCUUGGAUGACUUGUGGCUAGGGGUGAAAUUCCAAUCGAACACGGAUAUAGCUGGUUCUCUCCGAAAUAGCUUUAGGGCUAGCCUCGAUGUUAAGUCUACUGGAGGUAGAGCACUGAAUGGGUGAUGGCCCCACCUCGGGGUACUGAUCUCAAUCAAACUCCGAAUGCCAGAUAGAUAUAAUCGGGAGUCAGACUGUGGGUGAUAAGGUCCAUGGUCAAAAGGGAAAGAGCCCAGACCGCCAGCUAAGGCCCCCAAGUGUCCGUUAAGUGGAAAAGGAUGUGGAGAUGCACAGACAACUAGGAGGUUGGCUUAGAAGCAGCCAUCCUUUAAAGAGUGCGUAAUAGCUCACUAGUCGAGUGACUCUGCGCCGAAAAUGUACCGGGGCUAAACGGACCGCCGAAGCUGCGGAUUGACUUUAGAGUCAGUGGUAGGAGAGCGUUCUAACAGCGGUGAAGCAGUACCGGAAGGAGCUGUGGAGCGGUUAGAAGUGAGAAUGCCGGUGUGAGUAGCGAAAGAUAGGUGAGAAUCCUAUCCAUCGAAAGCCUAAGGUUUCCAGGGGAAGGCUCGUCCGCCCUGGGUAAGUCGGGACCUAAGGUGAGGCCGAAAGGCGUAGCCGAUGGACAACAGGUUGAUAUUCCUGUACCACUUAUUAAACUGAUGGAGUGACGGAGAAGGCUAAGUUGAGCGUGUGAUUGGAUUCACGUGUAAGCAGUGAGGUGGUCAUGUAGGCAAAUCCGCAUGGCAUAACAUUGAGCUGUGAUGCCGAAGCCGAAUGGCGAAGUCAACUGACGUCACGCUUCCAAGAAAAGCUUCUAGGGUUAAUUUAAUAAGUGCCCGUACCGAUAACCGACACAGGUAGGCGAGGAGAGAAUCCUAAGAUGAGCGAGAGAACUCUUGUUAAGGAACUCGGCAAAAUGACCCCGUAACUUCGGGAGAAGGGGUGCUUGUGAAAGCAAGCCGCAGUGAAUAGGCCCAGGCGACUGUUUAUCAAAAACACAGGUCUCUGCUAAACCGCAAGGUGAUGUAUAGGGGCUGACGCCUGCCCGGUGCUGGAAGGUUAAGAGGAGAGGUUAGCGCAAGCGAAGCUUUGAAUUGAAGCCCCAGUAAACGGCGGCCGUAACUAUAACGGUCCUAAGGUAGCGAAAUUCCUUGUCGGGUAAG